AUGACAUAUCAAAAGUUAAUUUGUACAGAAGCCUGUGGCAGGUAGUGACGUGAUUUUUGCCCAGUGCUGUGAAUGUCAGUGUAAAGAAAUUCAAUGAAGCCAGGUAAAUUAAUGGGUGUAACUAGGACUCUCUUAAGCAAGCCAAGUGCCUAAUUAUAGAUGUGCAUGAAUGGAUGAA
rnacentral:ncRNA from 1 species